UUAGCUGCAUUAUUUGACGUUAGCGACAGAUGAAGCACGGCCUAACUGCGUGCCAGCAGGCGCGGUAUACGGGGGGUGCGAGCAGUUAUUCGGAAUUACUGGGCGUAAAGGGCAUGCCGGUGGUUGUUAAGUCAGAUGUGAAAGCCCGGGGCUCAACCUCAGAAUAGCAUUUGAAACUGGCAGACUAGAGUACUGUAGAGGGGGGUAGAAUUUCAGGUGUAGCGGUGAAAUGCGUAGAGAUCUGAACGGAAUACCGGUGGCGAAAGGCGGCCCCCGGCACAGAUACUGACACUCAGAUGCGAAAGCGUGGGGAGCAAACAGGAUUAGAUACCCUGGUAGUCCACGCCGUAAACGAUGUCUACUUGGAGGUUGUGGCCUUGAGCCGUGGCUUUCGGAGCUAACGCGUUAAGUAGACCGCCUGGGGAGUACGGUCGCAAGAUUAAAACUCAAAUGAAUUGACGGGGGCCCGCACAAGCGGUGGAGCAUGUGGUUUAAUUCGAUGCAACGCGAAGAACCUUACCUACUCUUGACAUCCAGAGAACUUUCCAGAGAUGGAUUGGUGCCUUCGGGAACUCUGAGACAGGUGCUGCAUGGCUGUCGUCAGCUCGUGUUGUGAAAUGUUGGGUUAAGUCCCGCAACGAGCGCAACCCUUAUCCUUGUUUGCCAGCGAGUAAUGUCGGGAACUCCAGGGAGACUGCCGGUGAUAAACUUGAGGAAGGUGGGGACGACGUCAAGUCAUCAUGGCCCUUACGAGUAGGGCUACACACGUGCUACAAUGGCGCAUACAGAGGGCGGCCAACUUGCGAAAGUGAGCGAAUCCCAAAAAGUGCGUCGUAGUCCGGAUUGGAGUCUGCAACUCGACUCCAUGAAGUCGGAAUCGCUAGUAAUCGUGGAUCAGAAUGCCACGGUGAAUACGUUCCCGGGCCUUGUACACACCGCCCGUCACACCAUGGGAGUGGGCUGCAAAAGAAGUAGUGUAGUUUAACCUUCGGGGGGACGC
rnacentral:rRNA from 1 species